rnacentral:lncRNA from 1 species
UCAAACUCAAUAAGAGAAGACAAGGAAAAUAGAAUAGACUCGAGACAAUGAGGGAGAAGAUAAAAAAUGGAUUUUUAGAAGUCAGAUUAAAGUAAGUAGUAUACAGUGGCUUGAUUUGGCCCAACAAAAGCAAACAUGCAAGAAGAUGCAUGCUGUAUGGUUCUGUACGAUUGUUAAAUUCGGGCUGCAACAGUGGCUGGCUGAUUAAGAAGCUGUUCUUGCAUGGUUACAUGAAAAC